rnacentral:rRNA from 1 species
AGUGAACGCUGGCGGUAGGCCUAACACAUGCAAGUCGAACGGCAGCACAGUAAGGGCUUGCUCUUACGGGUGGCGAGUGGCGGACGGGUGAGGAAUACAUCGGAAUCUACUUUUUCGUGGGGGAUAACGUAGGGAAACUUACGCUAAUACCGCAUACGACCUACGGGUGAAAGCAGGGGAUCUUCGGACCUUGCGCGAUUGAAUGAGCCGAUGUCGGAUUAGCUAGUUGGCGGGGUAAAGGCCCACCAAGGCGACAAUCCGUAGCUGGUCUGAGAGGAUGAUCAGCCACACUGGAACUGAGACACGGUCCAGACUCCUACGGGAGGCAGCAGUGGGGAAUAUUGGACAAUGGGCGCAAGCCUGAUCCAGCCAUACCGCGUGGGUGAAGAAGGCCUUCGGGUUGUAAAGCCCUUUUGUUGGGAAAGAAAAGCAGCAGGUUAAUACCCCGCUGUUCUGACGGUACCCAAAGAAUAAGCACCGGCUAACUUCGUG